rnacentral:rRNA from 1 species
GGCGGCAUGCUUAACACAUGCAAGUCGCACGGCUGGGGUAACCCAGCAGUGGCGGACGGGUGAGUAACGCGUAGGUAUCUAUCUCCGGGUGGGGGACAACUGUGGGAAACUACAGCUAAUACCGCAUGAUGCCCGAGGGCCAAAGGCGCAAGUCGCCUGGAGAGGAGCCUGCGUACGAUUAGCUAGUUGGCGGGGUAAAGGCCCACCAAGGCGACGAUCGUUAGCUGGUCUGAGAGGAUGAUCAGCCACACUGGGACUGAGACACGGCCCAGACUCCUACGGGAGGCAGCAGUGGGGAAUAUUGGACAAUGGGCGCAAGCCUGAUCCAGCAAUGCCGCGUGAGUGAAGAAGGUCUUCGGAUUGUAAAGCUCUUUCGACGGGGACGAUGAUGACGGUACCCGUAGAAGAAGCCCCGGCUAACUUCGUGCCAGCAGCCGCGGUAAUACGAAGGGGGCUAGCGUUGCUCGGAAUGACUGGGCGUAAAGGGCGCGUANGCGGUUCGUACAGUCAGACGUGAAAUUCCCGGGCUCAACCUGGGGACUGCGUUUGAUACGUGCGGGCUUGA